CGAUCAUUGUUUUGUUUUUAGAAUAUGCCUUCGGUUAUAUGUCUUCUGAUUCCUCAUGUUCGUCUAACUUAAUCUUUGCAUGACGUCAACAGCCAAAAUGUGUAAGCAACAGCGACAACAUAAAUAUCCUAAAGAUGAGAUACGGAAAAUUGUGAGAGAAAUGUACAUCUUGGUUUAAGAGGGUUGAAUUUUAGCUGAUCUUCAGAGGCGCAAGACUAAACAAUUAGUAUAACUGAAACAGUUUGUGAUUGUGAGCCAUGUCUGAAGGACCAAGUUAUUUUACACCAAGUUUUAUUUACCUGAUUAGGCAUAAUGUUUACAAAAAAUCGGACCCUUUUGCGCCUGAUAACAUUACUGUACUCAACAAUAGCGUCUUGGAGUUUGAAGCCCAGUUACCGAGUAUCUUAGAAAGAAAGUACGUGGCUAUUGUCAUUAAUUUAGAAAAUCCGCAAGCAUGCUUGAAUUAUUUGCGAAAUCAUCUACAACUGAGUCAGACAUACCUUCUAAUUAUCGUUUUUAACUCGCAAGCAACAGAAGAUCCAAUGUUUCGCUGGAAUGCCGCUGAGCUGGGUGCGCAUAUGGUUACUAAUUGCUUUUCAUCUAUGUGUUCUGCGCUGACUAUUUGCAUGUACCGAAAACAAGGACCUUAUUCCUGUCCUUAUUGUGAAGCAAUGAGCUUCGAAGAACAUGAACUGCGAGAACAUGUCUCUUUAUUCCACGAAUCUUUUCAACAGUGCUUGUGCUGUACUUGUCCAAUCUGUAAAAAGACAUCAAGAAACUUUUUCUCUCAUAUAUUCCAUGAGCAUGGCGACGGAAGCACCGAGGAGCGCACGGGCUGGUUUUCAAUCUGUAUUGUACAGAGACGGAGUGAUAAAGCCUUCUUAAUGGUCCAGGAAAGAGCGGGUGCUGGUUUUUGGGUUCCUGGUGGAGGCAUUAACCCAGGAGAGUCGUUCCUCAAAGGAGCCUUCAGAGAAACUUUGGAGGAAGCUGGUGUUUUUAUUGACGUGAAGGGAGUUCUCCAGUUUGAGAGUGCUUCACAUGGCAAAUGGAAACGAGUGGUUUUCUACGCUGAGCCAAAAGACGAGAAUCAGAUCCCGAAGACAUUGCCCGAUUUUGAGAGCAAUGGUGCAUGUUGGGUCAAAUAUGAGCAGCUUAAGAGCAUCAAACUGCGCUGUGCGGCCGAACCUAUGCAGUUUUUUAAAUUCAUCCUAGAUGGCGGACAACCAGGCCCACUAGAAGUCCCCCCAAGUGAAACUCGCUUUUACAACCAAGAGCCCUCGUUGACUUGAGUUGACGUGCUAGUUCAACCAACCAACCAAUGCUAUGUUACGCUAUUUGAAGUGCUGCUCUGACUUGCCUUUCAUAUCUAUUUAUUGUUUUUAGAGUUAAUAGCUGAGUAGCUUUUUCAUAGUUAUAUUGUAGAAAAUAUAUUGUUAUACUCGCUAUAAUCAUAGAUUAUAUCAUGAAUAAAAGUUAAUGCUAAAA